rnacentral:misc_RNA from 1 species
UACGUAGGGGGCAAGCGUUGUCCGGAAUUAUUGGGCGUAAAGCGCGCGCAGGCGGUCUCUUAAGUCUGAUGUGAAAGCCCACGGCUCAACCGUGGAGGGUCAUUGGAAACUGGGGAACUUGAGGGCUGGAGAGGAAAGUGGAAUUCCACGUGUAGCGGUGAAAUGCGUAGAUAUGUGGAGGAACACCAGUGGCGAAGGCGACUUGCUGGCCUACAACUGACGCUGAGGUGCGAAAGCGUGGGGAGCAAACAGG